rnacentral:lncRNA from 1 species
AUGCAAGCAAGACCCAGCGGCCCGAGGGGAUUUCGGUUGCUCUCUGCGUGGGGGCGCAGUCUCCACUGCAGAUCAGCACCCGCCCGCGGGGAGGUGGCCACGUUUCUCUCCUGAACACCAGUUGAUGGCCCGCCUUCCUAAAAGGCCGUGUGGCGUCUCCAGUGGCUACAACGGGGCGCGCCAAUGGCUCGUGCGUGGAGGCAACUGGUCAUCUCCUUCAUGCUGAAGAAAGCUGCCAUCCUGCCCAGGGAGGAGUAGGACAAGAAGAGGGGAGAAGAGACUCUGGGGGGGAAAAGAAGUCAGGCGGAGAUAUAUGGGAACACAAAGAAAAAACGAGAGCCAGAGUACACAAGACGAGACAGAAAAAAGAAAUGUAAGGGAGUGACGGCGAAGAAGAGGAUAGAACGGUAAUGGAAGCAGAAGGGCAAAGAGGGACAAGUAAGAAGGAGAGAAUUCUAGGCCUCGGGAAGAGAAAGUUCCUGCUGCACUGCGGAAUCCGGCCUAAAGGAAGAGGCAACCAGGUGCAGCACCCAAGCCCAGGUGCCAGUCAUUUGCCGCUGGGCUCUCAGACCCAUUCUCCUUUUGCGGCUGUCACAUAUUCUGUAGGGAUUCUGAGCCCUGCCCUCUGUCAUCUUGUCCACUGGCUUCUCCUGCUUUCCACCACUGGGUGGGCUUGGAGGGUGGGAGGCAGGGAGAAGCCAGGGGGACUCUCAUCCCCUACUUUGGAAGAUGUCUGCCGCAGUAGUUGCACUAACUUUGUGGCUCCAACUCCUAUUGGACAAGCCCUCCAGGGUUCCGGCUGUCUCCUCUCUUUGCCCCUCCAGCCUCAGGGGAGAAGGCACGUCCAGCAGUUGCUAAUCUCAGGAUUGCCUCACCUUACCCUAGUUGAACGUCCAGUUCUUUCAACACUUGUAACUAAUUUGCUGCAUUAAAUUAUUGCUAUUGACUCGCUUGGGAAAGAA